CCUGAUACCAUCAUGCUUUUUAGAGGCCUCUGCUCUGCCAGCCUGGGAGUCAUCUUCACCCUCAGGCUGGUAGACUCCAGUCUCUUAGGUCAGAAUGGGAUUAGAGACCCGUUCCUGAACCAGUCACACACAGCGGGUGAAACUGCUAUGAUUGGUUUAGACUUAGAGACUGGAAUGGAUGCUGGCCUAGAAGCGAAGACACAUAGAAGCAAUGUGUACCUAGACUGUUGUCCUAAAUGCCAUUUCCUACCAGGAAGGAACCAGAGUCUUUGCAGAAAUGUAUCAUUUCACAUCUGGGUAAGGAAAUGUCUGAGAAGGAUCAGAUAUAUUGUGGGUCAGAAAGCAACGGAGCUGUCAAAGUGAACUCAUGCAACGGUAUCAAAAGGAUUCAAAAGAAUUCAGUUGAUAAAAGUCGGUAUAGACCCAUUUCUUCCCACUCUUCCCUGCUAAGUAUAACUGUAACCCCUGAAAAUUACUCAAGAGACAACCAAAGGAGAACUCUAAACACUAGUGGAAGAAGAUUAACUGAUUUGGGACCCUAAGAACAACAUAGUGGCAGGGUGACACUCAUGCCUCCUUUCAAAAGAACAAGGACACCUAGACCCAGUAUUUUCCUACCUCAGCAGAGCAACAGAUGGAAGCCCACGUAGGCUCAUUGCUCUCCUGGAUCCAUCAGCAGCCCCUCUGCAUCAGGCGAGCCCAACACUACCUUUGAGGAGGAAUCAAUUUGGAGACCUAUCAAUAAGCAGUGAGGGGAAUCACUCUCCUUCCUCAAGCAGCACCAGCAAGAACCAGUGGGAGCCCGAGAAACACCAGACAUAAAACAUCGCCCAUUUCAUCUGUUUCUUCAGUCCCCAGAUAGCAGAUGACUGGUAGGAAGAUGAGGCAAGUUUGCGGUCCAUUGUCAUGGAUAGUGGAGACAACACUGGGCCAGAAGUGGUAAGACCUGAAUCCAAGACUCAGCUCUGCCACUUGCUAAAUGGGACUUUGAAUAAACCAUUUCUCUGCACUUAAGUUCCUUACCAACAAAACGAGGGAAGUGGCCUACAUGCCUAGAUAUCAACAUUUCAUGUCACGUAGAGAUCUAGCAUCACAAGAAUCCAAGUCAUCCUCUGUUGCCUUUAAGAAAUUAGAAUUAAAGGAAUCAGAAUUGAAGUGAAUCUGACUACACUAAGCCUAUCACUUGUGACAGCCAUGGGAAGAUAUCAUUGGUUGCUGAGGAGCAGAAAUAAGCAGAGACCUAUUGUGUUAGGUUAUCAUUCAUUUCAGACAAAAAGCAGAUCAGCAAGUUUUCAUAUUGCACUAUUUUCAAUGGCUGGAGCAUCAACAUUUUACAACAAGAAAAAAAUUAAAAUUCUUCAACAUUUGGAAAAGAAGUGUUUGUAAAACUUUUCACAUCCAUUCACCAUCCGGAAAAGCAAGGUUUUACAGUGAGGCCUGAUGAUGUCUAGAGUCACCAUGCAUCUUGGAAAAUGACCUCCUAUUUAUUUCUUCUACAGGACACCAUGGUGUUCACCUUUCUACAACUUUACACUUGCUGAGGACAUAUUGUGGAAAAUUAAGAGAAAUAUAUAUGGAUGGCCAAGGCUGUA
ensembl:lncRNA LINC02207 long intergenic non-protein coding RNA 2207